rnacentral:rRNA from 1 species
AAUAUUUAAUAGUUAUUAAGAAUAUUAUUUAGAAGUAGAAUUGAAAUAGUAGUGUUGAAUGAAAAAAUUUUUAUAGAAGAAAUUUAAAAUAAUAAUUUUUUAAUUUUACCUUUUGUAUCAGGGCUUUAUAAUUAUUUACGUAAGUUAAAUAACAAAAUAAUAAAAUUUAAAAAUUUUUUUGGGGUUGUGUAGAAUAAUUUCCUAAAAAUUUUUUUUGAAAUGAAAAGUUGUCGUUUAUUAGGAUAUUUUUUUAGGGGUUAUGUAUUUUAAAUAAAGUAUAAAAAUAUAAAAUUUUUUGGGGGCGAGCUCAAAAAUUUUAAUUAAAAAUGAAUUGUUUUUUAAUGUGGUCUUUAAAUUUGAAAUCGUAAGUUUUUAAAAAAUUAAUUAAAGCAGAAAAUAAUUUUAUAUGGGUAAAUUUUUUUAACUCUUUUUAGAAAAAUAAAAUAUCUUUUAAAUAAUGUAAAUAUAAGUAAAUUUUAGUGUUAAUAUUAUAAGCAAUAAAAAUUUUUUUUAAAAACUUGGUAAUAUAUUUUUUAAUUGUUUAACAAAAACAUUUUCUUUAGAGUAAAUUAAAGAUAAGGCCUGCUCAAUGAAAAUUUAAAUGGCCGCAGUAUAAUGACUGUGCUAAGGUAGCAUAAUAAUUUGCCUUUUAAUUGGGGGCUGGAAUGAAAGGUUUUAUGGAAAAUAGCUGUUUUAAAAUAAAUAAUUGAAUUUAAGUUUUGCAUAAAAACUUGCAAAUUCCCUUAAGGGACGAGAAGACCCUGUGGAUUUUUAUUUGUUGAAAAAUAAAUUUUAUAAUAUUUUAUUUUUUAUUCAAAUUUGGUUGGGAUGACAAUAAAAUUAACUUUAUUAGAGAAAAUAAUGUGGAUCCUUUAUAAGGGCAAAAGAAUAAAUUACCCCAGGGAUAACAGCGUAAUACUUUUGGACAGGACAAAUGGAUAAAAGUGUUUGCGACCUCGAUGUUGAAUUAAAAUAUCUUUAUUAAGCAUAAAUAAUAAAAGUAAGUCUGUUCGACUUUUGAAAUUUUACAUGAUUUGAGUUCAGACCGGCGUGAGCCAGGUCAGUUUCUAUCUUUAAGAAAAUUAAAAAAUAAUAGUACGAAAGGACCUUAUUUUAUUUUG